rnacentral:piRNA from 1 species
GCAAAAGCAAAGUGACUACAAAAGUGC